UACGUAGGCAGCAAGCGUUGUUCGGAAUUACUGGGCGUAAAGAGUGUGUAGGCGGUGCUCUAAGUUCGGUGUGAAAUCUCCCGGCUUAACUGGGAGGGUGCGCCGGAAACUGGAGUGCUCGAGCGUGGGAGAGGAAAGCGGAAGUCCUGGUGUAGCGGUGAAAUGCGUAGAUAUCAGGAGGAACACCUGCGGUGUGAGACGGCUUUCUGGACCAUGCUGACGCUGAGACACGAAAGCGUGGGUAGCAAACAGG
rnacentral:rRNA from 1 species